UUCUGCGCAGUCUCCUCAGUCACCCUGGCGAGCGGCCUGCCUUCAAAUGGCUCUGCUGGGGCCUGACCCACCACUCUGCAUGUGAUCCGUGCUCGUAUUUAAGAGGAAAAUCACAGGCCUCGGGAGAUGGUGCAGCUGACAAAGUACCUGCCAGGCAAUCACAGAACCUGAGUUCAAAAAGCCAGCGCCCACAUAAGAAGCCAGAACGGACCUGUCACCCCAGCUGGGGACAGGGAUGGCUGGCGCAGACAAAAUCCCAAGAAAACAUCAAAUGGCAAGCAGCAGAGGGAGAGCAAAGCCUUUGUGGUGUUCCUGUUUGAGACUUAAGGGAGCCGCCAGGAGGCCUGAGCAGAGCCGCAGAACACAGGUGAAGGUCUACAUUUGAUUCUCAGGACACCUGUAUCCUGUCUCAGCCGCUCACAGGCUGUGUGACCUGAAGCAAGUUCCUUCGCCCCUCUGAACACCCUUAGGAAAAAGGAAUGUCCUCUCAUAUGUCCCAGCGCUCUGAUGACUGGAAACAGCUGCUGGCUCACUUGUUCGGGGCAUACUAAGUUUCCAGCUGGGGACCCCAGACCUGAUCUUGGUCUGUCCCAGCCCUGUCUACAAGCAAUGCUAUUGGAUAAGUUGACUUCCAUCACUAGUAAAGAUACCUCGGAUGACUGUGUCAACUCACUAGGAUCUAGUAUCUCCAGGACUCUGGCAAACCUCCAGAUACACCUGUAAGUUGUUAUCUAGAUUAAGGCUAGGCUCUGAGAAUGUCCGUGGGGAUCAUCUUAUUUUGAGACUGGCGAGACC